AACGAACGCUGGCGGCGUGCCUCAUACAUGCAAGUCGAGCGAGAAAGCCCGCUUCGGUGGGUGAGUAAAGCGGCGAACGGGUGAGUAACACGUGAGCAAUCUGCCCUUCGGUGGGGGAUAAGCCUUCGAAAGGGGGUCUAAUACCGCAUAAUACUCCUGGAUGGCAUCAUCCGGGAAUCAAAGGUGGCCUCUGCUUGCAAGCCAUCGCCGAGGGAUGAGCUCGCGCUCCAUUAGCCUGUUGGUGGAGUAACGGCCCACCAAAGCUACGAUGGAUAGCCGGCCUGAGAGGGUGAACGGCCACACUGGGACUGAGAUACGGCCCAGACUCCUACGGGAGGCAGCAGUAGGGAAUCUUGCGCAAUGGACGAAAGUCUGACGCAGCAACGCCGCGUGUGGGAUGAAGCUCCUUGGAGUGUAAACCACUGUCAGGAGGGACGAAUGAUUUUGGCCUUAAUACGGCCUUGAUUUGACGGUACCUCCAGAGGAAGCUCCGGCCAACUCCGUGCCAGCAGCCGCGGUAAUACGGGGGGAGCAAGCGUUGUUCGGAAUCACUGGGCGUAAAGGGUGCGUAGGCGGGAGAUUAGGUCGGAUGUGAAAACCUCGGGCUCAACCCGGGGCCUGCAUUCGAAACCAGUCUUCUUGAGUAUCGGAGAGGGAAGCGGAACUCCAGGUGUAGCGGUGAAAUGCGUAGAUAUCUGGAGGAACACCGGUGGCGAAGGCGGCUUCCUGGCCGAAUACUGACGCUCAGGCACGAAGGCUAGGGGAGCAAACAGGAUUAGAUACCCUGGUAGUCCUAGCGGUAAACGAUGGGCACUAGGUAUCGGGGGUAUCGACCCCCCCGGUGCCGCAGCUAACGCAUUAAGUGCCCCCGCCUGGGGAGUACGACCGCCAAGGUUG
rnacentral:rRNA from 1 species